rnacentral:rRNA from 1 species
GAUUUGGGUGUGCUCGCAAGAGAAUGGUUACACAGGUGCUGCAUGGCUGUCGUCAGCUCGUGUCGUGAGAUGUUGGGUUAAGUCCCGCAACGAGCGCAACCCUUGUCAUUAAUUGCCAGCAUGUAAAGGUGGGCACUUUAAUGAGACUGCCGGUGACAAACCGGAGGAAGGUGGGGAUGACGUCAAGUCCUCAUGGCCCCUAUGGGUAGGGCUUCACACGUCAUACAAUGGUGCAUACAGAGGGUUGCCAAGCCGCGAGGUGGAGCUAAUCUCAGAAAGUGCAUCGUAGUCCGGAUUGUAGUCUGCAACUCGACUGCAUGAAGUUGGAAUCGCUAGUAAUCGCGGAUCAGCAUGUCGCGGUGAAUACGUUCCCGGGUCUUGUACACACCGCCCGUCACACCAUGGGAGCGGGUUUCACCAGAAGUAGGUAGCUUAACCGCAAGGAGGGCGCUUACCACGGUGGGAUUCGUGACUGGGGUGAAGUCGUAACAAGGUAGCCGU